AGAGUUUGAUCCUGGCUCAGGACGAACGCUGGCGGCGUGCUUAACACAUGCAAGUCGAGCGGAAAGGCCCUUCGGGGUACUCGAGCGGCGAACGGGUGAGUAACACGUGAGUAACCUGCCCUGGACUUUGGGAUAACCCUCGGAAACGGGGGCUAAUACCGAAUACGACCAUUCACUGCAUGGUGUGAUGGUGGAAAGUUUUUCGGUCUGGGAUGGACUCGCGGCCUAUCAGCUUGUUGGUGGGGUAAUGGCCUACCAAGGCGACGACGGGUAGCCGGCCUGAGAGGGCGACCGGCCACACUGGGACUGAGACACGGCCCAGACUCCUACGGGAGGCAGCAGUGGGGAAUAUUGCACAAUGGGCGGAAGCCUGAUGCAGCGACGCCGCGUGAGGGAUGACGGCCUUCGGGUUGUAAACCUCUUUCAGCAGGGACGAAGCGCAAGUGACGGUACCUGCAGAAGAAGCGCCGGCCAACUACGUGCCAGCAGCCGCGGUAAGACGUAGGGCGCGAGCGUUGUCCGGAUUUAUUGGGCGUAAAGAGCUCGUAGGCGGCUUGUCGCGUCGAAUGUGAAAUCUCAGGGCUCAACUCUGACAUUGCAUUCGAUACGGGCAGGCUAGAGUUCGGUAGGGGAGACUGGAAUUCCUGGUGUAGCGGUGAAAUGCGCAGAUAUCAGGAGGAACACCGGUGGCGAAGGCGGGUCUCUGGGCCGAUACUGACGCUGAGGAGCGAAAGCGUGGGGAGCGAACAGGAUUAGAUACCCUAGUAGUCC
rnacentral:rRNA from 1 species